rnacentral:rRNA from 1 species
UAAGGAAUAUUGGUCAAUGGAGGCAACUCUGAACCAGCCAUGCCGCGUGAAGGAUUAAGGCCCUCUGGGUUGUAAACUUCUUUUAUAUGGGAAGAAAUGUUCUGAUUCUUCAGAGCUUGACGGUACCAUAGGAAUAAGCACCGGCUAACUCCGUGCCAGCAGCCGCGGUAAUACGGAGGGUGCAAGCGUUAUCCGGAUUCACUGGGUUUAAAGGGUGCGUAGGUGGGCAGAUAAGUCAGUGGUGAAAUCUUCCGGCUUAACCGGAAGAUUGCCGUUGAUACUAUUUGUCUUGAAUAUUGUGGAGGUAAGCGGAAUAUGUCAUGUAGCGGUGAAAUGCUUAGAUAUGACAUAGAACACCAAUUGCGAAGGCAGCUUACUAUAUAAUUAUUGACACUGAGGCACGAAAGCGUGGGUAGCGAACA